rnacentral:rRNA from 1 species
CCUACGGGUGGCUGCAGUGGGGAAUAUUGCACAAUGGGCGCAAGCCUGAUGCAGCCAUGCCGCGUGUGUGAAGAAGGCCUUCGGGUUGUAAAGCACUUUCAGCGGGGAGGAAGGCGUUAAGGUUAAUAACCUUGUCGAUUGACGUUACCCGCAGAAGAAGCACCGGCUAACUCCGUGCCAGCAGCCGCGGUAAUACGGAGGGUGCAAGCGUUAAUCGGAAUUACUGGGCGUAAAGCGCACGCAGGCGGUCUGUCAAGUCGGAUGUGAAAUCCCCGGGCUCAACCUGGGAACUGCAUUCGAAACUGGAAGGCUAGAGUCUUGUAGAGGGGGGUAGAAUUCCAGGUGUAGCGGUGAAAUGCGUAGAGAUCUGGAGGAAUACCGGUGGCGAAGGCGGCCCCCUGGACAAAGACUGACGCUCAGGUGCGAAAGCGUGGGGAGCAAACAGGAUUAGAUACCCUAGUAGUC